GUCAGGUGCAGUGGCGCUCGCCUGUAAUCCCGGCAGCUUGGGAGGCUGGGACAGGAGGAUCGUGAGUUCAAAGCCAGCCUCAGCAAAAGCGAGGUGCUGAGCAACUCAGUGAGACCCUGUCUCUA
rnacentral:sRNA from 1 species